rnacentral:sRNA from 23 species
AUCAGAAACUCCUCAUAUACAAAUUUCUGAUCACUAAACACUCCGAUUCUUAAGAAUUGGGUGUUUUUUUAAUGCAAUUA